rnacentral:lncRNA from 1 species
AAAAAAAAAAAUCAAAACUGGUUUUAUCAUACCUCCUAUACAUUUCUAGGAAUACAAUUGGUUAAAAGCGACCGCCUAGAUACCGUGCAUAUUUCAUAUAGGGUUAGUAGACGUGGUUUGUUUCAAUACAUGGUAAGAAGUGGUGUUACGUCCCUUUUUUAAAAUAAAACAACAGUGUUGAAGAAACAUCUGAAACGUUUCGCCCGGAC